rnacentral:rRNA from 1 species
CUAAUAUCAGAUAAUGCAGCGGCUCCGCAUGGAGACAGUUAGUUAAAGUACAAGCGCCUGAAGAUGAGCCUGCGGUCCAUUAGCUAGUUGGUAGAGUAAAAGCCUACCAAGGCAACGAUGGAUAGCUGGUCUGAGAGGAUGAUCAGCCACACUGGAACUGAGACACGGUCCAGACUCCUACGGGAGGCAGCAGUAAGGAAUAUUGCUCAAUGGCCGAAAGGCUGAAGCAGCAACGCCGCGUGAAGGAUGAAUGGCCUUUGGCCUGUAAACUUCUGUAAAAAGGGAAAAACAGUCAGGUAUAUCCUGAUUUGAUUGUACCUUUGAAGUAAGCCCCGGCUAACUACGUG